GAUGAACGCUGGCGGCGUGCCUAAUACAUGCAAGUCGAGGGAACGGACGAGAAGCUUGCUUCUCUUGUGUUAGCGGCGGCCGGGCGAGUAACACGUGGGUAACCUACCUAUAAGACUGGGAUAACUUCGGGAAACCGGAGCUAAUACCGGUAGAUAUUUUUAACCGACUGGUUCAAAAGUGUAAGACGGUCUUUCUGUCACUUAUAGAUGGAUCCGCGCUGCAUUAGCUAGUUGGUAAGGUAACGGCUUACCAAGGCAACGAUGCAUAGCCGACCUGAGAGGGUGAUCGGCCACACUGGAACUGAGACACGGUCCAGACUCCUACGGGAGGCAGCAGUAGGGAAUCUUCCGCAAAGGGCGAGAGCCUGACGGAGCAACGCCGCGUGAGUGAUGAAGGUCUUCGGAUCGUAAAACUCUGUUAUUAGGGAAGAACAUAUGUGUAAGUAACUGUGCACAUCUUGACGGUACCUAAUCAGAAAGCCACGGCUAACUACGUG
rnacentral:rRNA from 1 species